rnacentral:pre_miRNA from 1 species
UCUUACGAAUGAGCAAAGAAAGUAGUUUCUUGAGAUGGAAUCUACUCCUGGUUAAGAGCUAUGAA